CAGCAGCCGCGGUAAUACGAAGGGUGCAAGCGUUAAUCGGAAUUACUGGGCGUAAAGCGUGCGUAGGCGGUUUGUUAAGUCUGUUGUGAAAUCCUCGGGCUCAACCUGGGAAUGGCAGUGGAUACUGGCUCGCUAGAGUGUGUCAGAGGAUGGUGGAAUUCCCGGUGUAGCGGUGAAAUGCGUAGAGAUCGGGAGGAACAUCAGUGGCGAAGGCGGCCAUCUGGGACAACACUGGCGCUGAGGCACGAAAGCGUGGGGAGCAAACAGGAUUAGAUACCCGCGUAGUCCCUGUCUCUUAUAC
rnacentral:rRNA from 1 species